CUACGUGCCAGCAGCCGCGGUAAUACGGAAGGUCCAGGCGUUAUCCGGAUUUAUUGGGUUUAAAGGGAGUGUAGGCGGUUUGUUAAGCGUGUUGUGAAAUUUAGAUGCUCAACAUUUAACUUGCAGCGCGAACUGUCAGACUUGAGUACACGCAACGUAUGCGGAAUUCAUGGUGUAGCGGUGAAAUGCUUAGAUAUCAUGAAGAACUCCGAUUGCGAAGGCAGCAUACGGGAGUGUAACUGACGCUUAAGCUCGAAGGUGCGGGUAUCGAACAGGAUUAGAUACCCUGGUAGUCCGCACAGUAAACGAUGGAUGCCCGCUGUUGGUACCUGGUAUCAGCGGCUAAGCGAAAGCAUUAAGCAUCCCACCUGGGGAGUACGCCGGCAACGGUGAAACUCAAAGGAAUUGACGGGGGCCCGCACAAGCGGAGGAACAUGUGGUUUAAUUCGAUGAUACGCGAGGAACCUUACCCGGGCUUGAAUUGCAGAGGAAUUAUUUAGAGAUA
rnacentral:rRNA from 1 species